ensembl:lncRNA
CAACUCAGUGCCUCUUUGCUUGACAUCAUGGGAACAUCUAAAGUAAUCAGCCAAGACCUCAGAAAAAAAUUGUAGACCUCCACAAGUCUGGUUCAUCCUUGGGGGGGUGCUUGAGGGACAGCUCAUGUAGUGCAUUCCUCAAGGUUAUACAUUCCCUGUUCUUCCCCAUCUCUGUACAUGACCCAUUCCAAUAGAUCGUUGAUCACUCUAAUCCUAAUUUGUGUGUAUGUUCUCUCUCUCUUGCUCUCUCUUGCUUUUUGUGAAUGGGGAGUCGGGCGCCUGCUUUCGGAGAGUGAGGACACGAGUCUACAGGAAGUUUGAGGAGGUACAAAGACGAGAGGUCUUAUGGCACCCCACCCUGUACGGCAACUCCUGACCCCAUGUCACAGAUUGGAGGAAGUGUGUCAUCGAAAGGAGGAAGAGUCAAGGAAUACUGAUCUUCCCCAGUCAACUGUAACUGCUGUUAUUGUGAAGUGGAAACAUCUAGGAGGAACAACGGCUCAGCCACGAAGUGGUAGGCCACACAAGCUCACAGAACGGGAUGACAGAAUGCGGAAGCGUGUAAAAAAAUCUGUCCUCUGCUGGUUCCCCUUGCUCUGCAAGGGCCGUGGCUUUUGUGGAGCGAUGGGUAACGAUGCUUCGAGGGUGACUGUUGUUGAUGUGUGCAGAGGGUCCCUGGUUCGCGCCUGGGUUUGGGCGAGGGGACGGUCUAAAGUUAUACUGUUACACAUACAGAAAUGUUUUUUCAAGAUUGUUGUGGAAGAACUUGACUGGCCUGCAUACAGCCCUGACCUCAACCCCAUCGAACACCUUUUGGAUUAAUUGGAACACUGACUGCGGGCCUAAUGGAUGGUUGGAUCGAUAUAGCAUUUGGAUGGACAGAUGGAGGACUGGAUUGACUGGGUUGAGAGAGAGACCUUAAUGAUGGGGCCAGAACUCAAACUCUGUCCUGCCUGUAGUCAAGACGGUGUGCAGCAGUUUAUUCCUCUAUCAUAUGCUGUAUAAUAAUGGGCAUCCAACAUUGUGGGUUUAUUUCAACAUGUUACCUCAACCAUCCAUUUCAGGAAACAGUCACUAAAUUGUUAUGGACUGAAUUAAGCAGUGUUCAGAAAGCAAACUGUCUUUUCAGAUUAUUUUUUUGUUUCUAUCAUCAUCAUGACAGUGCCUAGCCUACUUGUUCUACAAGUGUAGCAUUUCUCUAUAUAUAAAGUCAAAUUGAACCUAAUGAUGCCGUUUGAUGAUUCAAAUCUUUUGUAUGGUCCCACAUUGGUUUGUUUGUGUAGGAGAUGUUAAUGUAUGUCAAUUAUAUUGUUUUCACAAAUGACAAUUAAAAAAU